UGGGAGCAUCAGAGUGUGCUGAAGGGUUCGGUCUGAAACCAGAUUGAACUUUGUGGGAUGCUUACACAUGCAAAGUCGAACGGCGGCAGCACGGACUUCGGUCUGGUGGUGGCGAGUGGCGAACGGGUGAGUAAUGUAUCGGAACGUGCCUAGUAGCGGGGGAUAACUACGCGAAAGCGUAGCUAAUACCGCAUCGCCCUUCGGGGAAAGCGGGGACCUUUGGGCCUCGCACUAUUGAAACGGCCGAUAUCGGAUUAGCUAGUUGGUGGGGUAACGGCUCCGCAAGGCGACGAUCCGUAGCUGGUUUGAAGGUGCCGACCAGCCACACUGGGACUGAGACAGCGGAAGAAAACCUAAGGAGAGCAGCAGUGGGGAAUUUACGUUAAUGCGGAAGCUUAUGAUCAUGCAUCCCGCGUGUGCGAUGAAGGCCCUUCCCGGGUUGUAAAGCACUUUUGGCAGGAAAAAACGGCACGGGAUAAUACCCCGUGCAACUGACGAUACCACCUGAGAUAAGCGCCACCAGCAACUACGUUGUAGCCGCGGUGGCCAGCGGUACAAGCGUUAAUCAGGUUACUGGGCGUAAAGCGUGCGCGAGCGGUUCGGAAAGAAAGAUGUGAAAUCCCAGAGCUUAACUGGAGCAUGCAUUUUAACUACCGAGCUAGAGUGUCAGAGAGUGGAAUUCCGCGUGUAGCAGUGAAAUGCGUAUAUGCCGGAGGAACACCGAUGGCGAAGGCAGCCUCCUGGGAUAACACUGACGCUCAUGCGAAAAGCGUGGGGGCAAACGGGAUUAGAUACCUGGUAGUCCACGCCACAAACGAUGUCCAACUAGCUGUUGAGGCCUUCGGGCCUUGGUAGCGCAGCUAACGCGUGAAGUUGACCGCCUGCCGCAGGAAGCCACGGUCGCAAGAUUAAAACUCAAAGGAAUUGACGGGGACCCGCACAAGCGGUGGAUGAUGUGGAUUAAUUCGAUGCAACGCGAAAAACCUUACCUACCCUUGACAUGUCUGGAAUCCGAAGAGAUUUGGGAGUGCUCGCAAGAGAACCGGAACACAGGUGCUGCAUGGCUGUCGUCAGCUCGUGUCGUGAGAUGUUGGUUAAGUCCCGCAACUUAGGCACAACGCCAAUAAUUAGUUGCUACGAAGGGCACUCUAAUGAGACUGCCGGUGACAAACCGGAGGAAGGUGAGGAUGACGUCGAAGUCCUCAUGGCCCAUAUGGGUAGGGCUUCACGUCAUACAAUGGUCGGGACAGAGGUCGCCAACCCGCGAGGGGAGCCAAUCCCAGAAACCCGAUCGUAGUCCGGAUCGCAGUCUGCAACUCGCUUCAAAGUGAAGUCAGAUCGCUAGUAAUAGCGGAUCAGCAUGUCGCGGUGAAUACGUUCCCGGGUCUUGUACACCGCCCGUCACACCAUGGGGUGGUUUUACCAGAAGUAGUUAAGCCUUCAACUUAAG
rnacentral:rRNA from 1 species